GACGAACGCUGGCGGCGUGCUUAACACAUGCAAGUCGAGCGGAGCGGCGCACGGGUGAGUAACGCGUGAGUAACUGCCCCCCUCCCUGGGAUAACAGUUGGAAACGGCUGCUAAUACCGGACAGUGGGGGAUGACUCGCGUCCUAUCGGCUUGUUGGUGGGGUAGUGGCCUACCAAGGCGACGACGGGUCGCCGGCCUGAGAGGGCGACCGGCCACAUUGGGCUGAGAUACGGCGCAAUCGCGUACGGGGGGCAGCAGUGGGGAAUAUUGCGCAAUGGGGGAAACCCUGAUGCAGCAACGCGCGUGCGGGAUGACGGCCUUCUGGUUGUAAACCGCUUUCAGCCAUGACGCGGUAGUGGCAGAAGAAGCACCGGCUAACUACGUGCCAGCAGCCGCGGUAAUUC
rnacentral:rRNA from 1 species